rnacentral:lncRNA from 1 species
UGUAAUUAAAAAAUUAUUUUCAAUAUUUUUUAUUUAAUACUUAUGCAUUUUUUAUUAUUUCAGUAUUUUUAAUUUAAUUUUAAACAUCAUUUACUAUUUUUAUAAAUUCAAAACGGGAAAGGUAGCUAUUUCAAUUAUAGGCCAUUUUACUUUCAGUUAUAGUCUAAUUUCGACCCCAAUCUAACCCCCCAAUUAGCACGACCCAAUUUCGUUCCUAUCCGACCUAAUCAAACUACCCCGUCCGGAUCACGUUUUAAAUCGUGGCCAUCGAUUGUUUUAAUCAACAGUCCACGAUUGCCCUUUCCUUUUUUAAACUAAAAUCCCCUAACCCUAAUCAUUUUACACCAAAUAGUCGGCCUUUUAUCCCUUUUGUCUCUCGAAUUCUCUUAACUCCUCUCUGAAACCCUAGCCCUCUCCGCUGGUCUCCGACCUUAUUUCACCGGAAAUCAUGGCCUCUCAGGCCCUGUGUAACCUAUAUCUACCCACACUCACCCUUAUCCUCCUCUUGCAUGAGGAUUCAAUGUCCGACCUUGGAGACCCCGGCUAAGAAGCUCUCCGAUUCAAGUUCUAUGGCCCUUUCUGGCUCAUCUCUGGCGAGUCCUAGCCCUGUGAGUCUAUCUCCGACUCAGGACCAGUCCGUUCCAGGCUUUUCUCACUCUCUAGGGUUUUUCUCUGAAACACUAAGCCCUCGAGGUUUUCCUUGUUUCUCUCUAAGAUCUACUUCAGUUCCGUGCUAUUUUCUAAGAUUUUAAAAUAUUUUCCACAUCUUUUUGAUUUUUUGUUUCCAAAACUGUUUAUCUUCUUAAAACUUAAGGUUUCUGUAAUUUUUUUACUAGUUCUAUUGCUAUCUCUUAUAUUUUUUACUUUGCUAAGUGUUUUUACUAUGAUUCCUAGACAUUUUCUUUACUAUAUUUUCUUUUAGGGUUUUCGAGUAAAUUCUUUACUGUUUCUUCUUUCAUUAUGCUUCCAUAAAUAUUUGUGUUCUUUUGACUUUCUGAUUUUAUUCUUCGCCUGAUUCUCUAUGCUUUCUUCUGUGAGGAAGAAACCCUAGAUUUUUGGGGGUUUUCAGACUACUUGUGUGCGAAUAUUUUUUGUUUCAUGUUUAAUUUCAAAUCCCUAAUUCUCUAAAACUCGUCUCAUAUUUCUGAUUCUUGCUAAGCUUUGCAAGACCUCUUGAUUUCUCAUAUCUAUGUUCUUUUACUUUGCAUGACUGCUCUGCUUACUUUUAACCUUGCAUGUUUAAGUUUAUGCUCCCUUUUUCUAGUCAAAUAUUUUUCUCUCUGAACAACUCUAAUUUUUGGGAUUGUUUUCUAUGAACUUACUUGAUUCUCUCCUUGUCUGAUUUGGACCUAUAUUCUGUCUUAAUGCAUUAUUGAGUUUGAAUUCCUGAUUCCUUGAUUUAUUUACGUGAUUAAUUGAUUUUAAUCUUGCCUCAUUUACCUAAACCGAAUAUCUUUAAAUUUUCUCUCAUGAAUUUACCCUUUAUUUCACAUCAGUGUUCUUGAUUUUCUUUCCUUAAAUAAACUCUGCCCUUUUAUUACUGUAGUCCGACUCCUUAAUUAAAGGAAUUCCCUUCUCCUGAUUGAUUCUGAUUUGAUGCUGAAUUAUUUUUACCUUACUUACUACCCGUUUUUAAAUUAUAAAUACCCCACUCCUUUUCUUCAAACUCACGAACAAUUAGAGUUCAAUACAUACACACACUCAAAGCUUUCCUCUCUUUUCUGCUACUUGUGUUACUGUUAUGUCUAGCCGGCUGAAAGCCAAGGCUAUACUUUGGGAAUCUCCUACUUUCCUGCUUGUGCUUGCGGAAUUCUCUGGCUGUUCUCUUGCUUUGUUUGUUCUACUGUUUGCAAAUUGCCACUGGUAUGUCUAUGAUUUAAAUACCAUGUUCUCUAAAACUGUGUGUUUAUUUCUCCUUUCUACAUGAUCUCUCAAUUACAUGUUUUUCUGGUAGUAUGUGACCAUACAUUAGCUUGUUAUACCUUUCUGCAUGCUUCUGCUGUUAUGCUUUCUUAUCUCUCCUUGAGGUUUGCUUUUAUGUGGUCCCCCUCCCAUUUGAUCCCCCUUGUGUGUGAGUAUGUCCAAAGUUGAGGUAGCAUCUUAUGCUAUCCUUGGCUUAGGAUCAUGUUCUUUUGAACCUCUACUCAAAUCAAUCUCAUUCCCUUAACCCCUUUUAUGUGUUGAGCCUUGAUUAGGGUCUGGUACUGUCCUAAGCACCACUCAGACCCCUAUUUGACUUUUGAAAAUCUGUUUUUUUAUUUGUUUGAAUCAAGUAAAGGAUUAGGGGUAUGCCUGUCCCAAUCAUGACUGGGUAUGACCAUCCUUUGCUCUGGUCUCAUCUAAUCCCCUCACUUUACACUUAUUCUUAGUUCUUUAAGUCCUACCCCUUAUGGUAAGCCAUGCUUAGGGACCCUAGAGUUCCCUCUGAACUUGGAUGCCUAAGGGAUGAUAAUUCCACACAUUACACUACUCAAUUCAAUAUUUAGGGUGUAAGCAUUGCCUGAGCUUCCUGAAAGCCCUUGGAACUUUGAAAUACUCUAAGAAAAGGCCUUGGAAUCUGGAGCCCGGAUUUGGUAAAAUACAUGUGUUGGACAUUAAGGUUGCUUUGGGCUUCCUCGGGUCUGUUUUUAGUUUUGAUGUAUUUAUUU